AGGAUUAACGCUGGCGGCGUGCAUGAAACAUGCAAGUCGAGCGCGGUGUGAUGCGGGGUAACCCAAUUCACAUCUAGCGGCGAACGGGUGAGUAACACGUGAGCAACCUACCUUUGAGUUGGGGAUAGCCCUGGGAAACCAGGAUUAAUACCCGAUGUGGUCACAACAGGACAUCCUGAUGUGAGUAAAGGCGUAAGCCGCUCAAUGACGGGCUCGCGGCCUAUUAGCUUGUUGGUGGGGUAACGGCCUACCAAGGCGAUGAUGGGUAGCUGGUCUGAGAGGACGAUCAGCCACACUGGGACUGAGACACGGCCCAGACUCCUACGGGAGGCAGCAGUUAGGAAUUUUCCGCAAUGGGCGAAAGCCUGACGGAGCAACGCCGCGUGAGUGAUGAAGACCUUCGGGUUGUAAAGCUCUGUCGGAGGGGAAGAACACAAUGACGGUACCUCCAAGAAGCCCCGGCUAACUACGUGUCAGCAGCCGC
rnacentral:rRNA from 1 species